rnacentral:rRNA from 1 species
UUAAGUCGACCGCCUGGGGAGUACGGCCGCAAGGUUAAAACUCAAAUGAAUUGACGGGGGCCCGCACAAGCGGUGGAGCAUGUGGUUUAAUUCGAUGCAACGCGAAGAACCUUACCUGGUCUUGACAUCCACGGAAGUUUUCAGAGAUGAGAAUGUGCCUUCGGGAACCGUGAGACAGGUGCUGCAUGGCUGUCGUCAGCUCGUGUUGUGAAAUGUUGGGUUAAGUCCCGCAACGAGCGCAACCCUUAUCCUUUGUUGCCAGCGGUCCGGCCGGGAACUCAAAGGAGACUGCCAGUGAUAAACUGGAGGAAGGUGGGGAUGACGUCAAGUCAUCAUGGCCCUUACGACCAGGGCUACACACGUGCUACAAUGGCGCAUACAAAGAGAAGCGACCUCGCGAGAGCAAGCGGAC